UACGGGGGGAGCAAGCGUUGUUCGGAUUUACUGGGCGUAAAGGGCGCGUAGGCGGUCGUGACAAGUCACUUGUGAAAUCUCCGGGCUUAACUCGGAACGGUCAAGUGAUACUGUCGGACUAGAGUACAGAAGGGGCAACUGGAAUUCUCGGUGUAGCAGUGAAAUGCGUAGAUAUCAGGAGGAAUACCGAUGGCGAAGGCAGGUCUCUGGGCUGACACUGACGCUCAUGCACGAAAGCGUGGGGAGCAAACAGG
rnacentral:rRNA from 1 species